AUGCUCACCUCGGCAGCACAAAUACUAUAAUAGGAAUGAUACAGAGAUUAGCAUAGUCCUUGCACAAGGAUGACACACAAAUUCAUGAAGUGUGUCAUAUUUUU